rnacentral:rRNA from 1 species
CCUACGGGUGGCUGCAGUGAGGAAUAUUGGUCAAUGGUCGUAAGACUGAACCAGCCAAGUAGCGUGCAGGAUGACGGCCCUACGGGUUGUAAACUGCUUUUAUCCGGGAAUAAAAUGCGUCACGUGUGAUGCUUUUUAGGUACCGCAUGAAUAAGGACCGGCUAAUUCCGUGCCAGAAGCCGCGGUAAUACGGAAGGUCCGGGCGUUAUCCGGAUUUAUUGGGUUUAAAGGGAGCGUAGGCCGCAUGUUAAGCGUGCCGGGAAAUGUCGGGGCUCAACCCUGGCCCUGCGGCGGGAACUGGCGUGCUUGAGUGGGCGGAACGCAUGCGGAAUGCGUGGUGUAGCGGUGAAAUGCUUAGAUAUCACGAAGAACCCCGAUUGCGAAGGCAGCAUGCGGCAGCGCUACUGACGCUGAAGCUCGAAGGCGCGGGUAUCGAACAGGAUUAGAUACCCUGGUAGUC